UAGGGAAUCUUCGGCAAUGGACGAAAGUCUGACCGAGCAACGCCGCGUGAGUGAAGAAGGUUUUCGGAUCGUAAAACUCUGUUGUUAGAGAAGAACAAGGAUGAGAGUAAAAUGUUCAUCCCUUGACGGUAUCUAACCAGAAAGCCACGGCUAACUACGUGCCAGCAGCCGCGGUAAUACGUAGGUGGCAAGCGUUGUCCGGAUUUAUUGGGCGUAAAGCGAGCGCAGGCGGUUUCUUAAGUCUGAUGUGAAAGCCCCCGGCUCAACCGGGGAGGGUCAUUGGAAACUGGGAGACUUGAGUGCAGAAGAGGAGAGUGGAAUUCCAUGUGUAGCGGUGAAAUGCGUAGAUAUAUGGAGGAACACCAGUGGCGAAGGCGACUCUCUGGUCUGUAACUGACGCUGAGGCUCGAAAGCGUGGGGAGCAAACA
rnacentral:rRNA from 1 species